UGUGAUCGCGGCUAUAUAAGCUCUCUUCCGUAUCAAUCAGCAGCUUUUUCCGCUUGCUCAGGAGCAAAUCAGAUGGCGAAUUCCAUCUCUAUGGGAAAGCUUUCAGUCAGGAAUUUUCCCACGGAGUUCUCACCAGACUCAACAAGUUUGUGAACUUGAACGCGAAUUCGCCGCGAUUGAUAUAGACCUUUUUCUGAACGCGGAAGUCUCCCCCGAUUAGAACGGUGCUUUACAUUUCCGGUUUCUAGUUACAUAUUUUCAGAGCCGAUAAUAUAAUGUGAAACCUAUGAAAGUCAUUUAAAAAAAAUAACGUGGCGCCAUUGUUUCAUCACUUUACAGUGUCGCAAUGACCGUCUUUUUGCAGUAAAGGACCAGUCAUAGUUCAAUGAGUGGGAAGAUGACAUGAAGCGACGCGAGGUUAAGCUGCAUUGAAAACAGAUGAGUGCACAUACAGUUCCUGAUUGGGGUGAAGUUCAUGGGAUUUUGUACACAGAAUGAAAAGAUCAAACAUUAUUUUAACAUAUAUUAUUAUUUCACACUCAGUAUUUUAACUUAAGCGCUGCAAGCCAUACCUGACAAGAUCAGAUUUUCUGAUACGCAAAACAAGAAUUCCUUAGCUUACUGCCGUUACUGUGGCAGCCAACAACAGCAAAGCAACGCUUCGCACAUUUUUAUAUGUAGUUAUAUUGAAAUAGUUUCAAUUCAGUCUAUCUUUUUUUUUACCCUGUUUUAAUGGGUUUCUAUGGAGACCGGAACACGAGAGCACCCAAACGGAAGUUAGAAUCCAUCAUGGCGCCGCUCAUCGGUUAUUCAGGAAAAAGGUCUAUAAGCUGAUAGAAUUGGAAGUGACCUGAGCAAGUACUGCUUCUCAUAACGAUAUAUCAUUGACAUAGACUCUUUGCCUGCAAUGCAUCGCUGAAGUUGUGCUAAUGUGACUGCAUCAACAACACUUUUACACGAGAUCUGCUUUCCCCGCUGGAAGAAGCAAAGAUAUCAAGGAGGGUUAAAGCAUCCACGUAAAAACUGAACAUUUAACCCUUUAUUCAUCUCUGAAUGUCUUCACGAAGCUAAGCUAAGUACUUAUUUCGUUAUCAUUGCCUUAUUCUAUGUUGGCAAUUAUGCUAUCGUCAAAUAUUGCUCGUUGUUAAGGCAGUUAUUCAGUAACAUGUUUGUUUGUGUAAUGUAUGUGCUAUUGGGUAUCAGCGUUUUGUGAUAAGCCUGCCCUCUAGUGGUGACAUAUAGUGAUGUAAUGACAUACUACUCAGAGUUAACAACAAUUCAGUAAAAGACAACGUGAGUUAACACAACACCAUUGUCUCCUGUGUAUCAUUCAUCUGCCAGCAUACACAACAAAAUUGGCGACGAGGAUGGGAUCAAUAACCACGGAUGCGUCAACAAGACCUGAAUGGACAUGAAAACAGGAAAUCACAGGAUCGCGAAAAGAGCUUUGAUCCUGCGCUUAAAAAAUGAAUGGUCUGAAAUCCGUCAUACAUGUCAGUCUGUCUAAAAGAAAUCCCCCGGGCCAGGAGCUAAGCACAGUUGAAGGAAUCACUCCGUGUGCAGCAUCCACUUGGAUGGUGCGACGGCAGCCACAGGACAACGGCGCCAGUGCGCUCACCACACACCAGCUACAGGUGGAGAGAAGAGAGAGAUAGAGCCAAUCAAGUGGAUGGGGAUUAUUGGGAAGCCAUGAUUGACAAGGGCCAGUGGAGGGAAUUUGGCCAGGACACCGCGGUUACACCCCUACUCUUUACGAUGUGUAUCAUGGGAUUUUUAAUGACCACAGAGAGUCAGGACCUCGGUUUAACGUCUCAUCCGAAAGACGGUGCUUUUUUACAGUGUAGUGUCCCCGUCAAUAUACUGGGGCGUUAGGACCCACACAGACUGCAGGGUGAGCACCCCCUGCUGGCCUCACAAACACCUCUUCCAACAGCAACCUAGUUUUCCCAGGAGGUCUCCCAUCCAGGUACUGACCAGGCUCAGCCCUGCUUAGCUUCCAUGGGCAAUUAUAAAUGUUGUUACUGUGGCCGCACCCGUGUUACGGCCGUCGGGCCUGGAUGCCGGGCCGACCAAGACCCAUCGUGAUGCCAUGGGCCAAGAGGUAGACGACAUCGCUGGAGAAGCCACCGUCCCUCGCGCCCUGGACCUUAGAGGGGAGCGCGUGCGGCCGCCGGACUCCGCCCCUUACCUGGACCCUCCCUUCCAGAACACUGCCCCUCCUUCACAAACCUCGCAGCACGACGAGGACACCAGAUCCCCUGUUUGUUUUGGACACUAUCCCCUUUGGACACUUUCUUUUAUUUCUGUUUAACAAAAGCCUCUCCGAGGCCUGACACCACACCCACUGUGUCUUUCGUUUGCUCCUCCCGUCACUAUAUAUAUAUAUAUAUGAAUUGCCAAUGCAGAUUGGAUGCAGAUCUCAACUCAGAUUCCAGAGAAACUGAGGGUCAAAAUAUAUAUAUUGAGAGACACAAAUUACAGUAAUUUGUGUGUAGAACAGCAAAUUGAAAAUAAAUGUGACUUUUCAGAUUUGAAAUGCCUGAAACUUGUAGCUUUAGUAG